AUUGAACGCUGGCGGCAGGCCUAACACAUGCAAGUCGAACGAGUGGCGGACGGGUGAGUAAUAUCUGGGAAACUGCCUGAUGGAGGGGGAUAACUACUGGAAACGGUAUCUAAUACCGCAUACCAUCGGAUGUGCCCAGAUGGGCUUAGCUUGUAGGUGGGGUAAAGGCACCCCUAGGCGACGAUCCCUAUCUGGUCUGAGAGGAUGACCAGCCACACGGGAACGGAGACACGGCCCAGACUCCUACGGGAGGCAGCAGUGGGGAAUAUGGCACAAUGGGCGCAAGCCUGAUGCAGCCAUGCCGCGUGUAUGAAGAAGGCCUUCGGGUUGUAAAGUACUUUCAGCGGGGAGGCGUUACCCGCAGAAGAAGCACCGGCUAACUCCGUGCCAGCAGCCGCGGUAAUAC
rnacentral:rRNA from 1 species